CUUUGCAGGAGAAGAGAGCCAUCUCUUGCCAUGCAGGGAGGGAGGACGUGGUGUAUUUCUAGCAUCAAGUUACAUGUGGUCAAGUCAGGGGAUGCCAUACCUGCUCCCAGCCUGAAUCCUGCAAUGUGUCAGGAGGAGCAGUGCAUUCAUAACGCAGCAACAAAGACUGGAGCACUGCUGAGACAGGUAGCAGAGCUCCUUCAUUAGUGGUCACUGUUAACCCCAUCCAGUCAGUGCUGAGCAAAACGAGGACUCUGCAAACUGCAGGUAAUAUUUCCUGCUGGCUCAGCUAUAGUCAUUUAUGCAGCUUUUAGGGUAGUUUGGUGUUUUUUUCUUUCUUUUUCUGUUCCUUGCUUUUGGUGAGAUGCUAAUAAUUCGUGCAAACUCCCCCAUACACAACCAAUCUCCAUCAGAUGAUGAGACAAAAGGCUGAGAUAAGCCCCACUUCUAGCUAUACACUGUUAAAACGGGAAAAGAAAUCUGUUCAGAGAUUUUGCGAUGCAUAUGCA
rnacentral:lncRNA from 1 species